rnacentral:rRNA from 1 species
UACGUAGGGUGCUAGCGUUGUCCGGAUUUAUUGGGCGUAAAGGGCGCGUAGGCGGUAUGGCAAGUGGAAGGUGAAAUCCCUCGGCUUAACCGAGGAACUGCCCUCCAAACUGCUUUACUUGAGGCCGGGAGAGGUGAGUGGAAUUCCCAGUGUAGCGGUGAAAUGCGCAGAUAUCAGGAGGAACACCGGUGGCGAAGGCGGGUCUCUGGGCAACAACUGACGCUGAGGAGCGAAAGCGUGGGGAGCGAACAGG